rnacentral:lncRNA from 1 species
GGAGAUAACUCUGAUUGGCUUGAAUCGAUCAAAGUUUCCUCUUAGAACUGGGGAUAAGGAGUAGCUUGGGAGCAGGUGACUUUCUGAAAGUGAUCUGGGUUCUGUUAGAAGGAAGAAUGAACAGAAAGACAUUGUGCUGCAGGUGAACAGCUGAGCACAUUAUGCACAGAGAUAUUUCAUUUUUUAGAUAAUUAGAAUAGGGAGAGGACAUUCUACACAGGGCAAAAGUGAAGCUGCCUCUUUUGAGGAGAAAUGGUUAAUUUAGCUGAAGCAUGAAAGCAAGAGGGGGAAUCACUGCAGAAGAAGAUAUUCUGGACAACAAUACAAUUAUGAUAUCAGAGAACUCUUAAUUUCUCAAAAACACUUCACUGACUCUCACAUCAACUAGAACAGCAAGUAUCAACAGAGAAAUCUGAAGUCCAGAGCAGCUCAAAUUAGAUCACAGCACUUCUCUGAUCUGGAAACUUCUGCGGCUUCCCCUGGCUCAUCAGUGAAUGGCUUGUGACAGGACGAAGAAUGGCGAGCUCCAUGGCAGGGAAACCAGCCUAGCCGGAGUGAAUUGGGCGUGGAACACUCCUUGUUCUCAGAGAUCAAAGAUGAGGAAGUGGAGAUAGAACCAUUGCUCUUGACUGACAGUGCUUGAGUUAGCAAGUGAAAGAGAUGAGAUUUGAGCUUCAGUCAUCAAACUCCUAUUCAUUUGUCGAUCUCCAGCAUCUAGCAGAGUUCCUGGCACCUAGAGAACAUUUGAUAAAUAAUUCAAAAAAGUGAGUGAUUUGUUCUUCAUUGUUUAAUCCUUAUUUUAGCUUAUGAUUUUUUCUGAUAAUAAAUAUACUUGCAUGUUGUGUGAAGUUCAUGUGUUAAAAUGCAAAGAAAGCUCACCUGAAAUCCUCCCACUAGAAAGUAACCUCGUUAACAUUUUCAUGACCUUCAUUUCACACAUUUAUUGUAAAUAUAUACCUUUUAUAUUAAAAUGUCACAAAAAUGAAAUAUUAUACAUGUUUUUCACAACUUACUUUUUCACUGAAAAUAUUAUGGAUAAUUUUUCCAAAUGAAAAAUAGAAAUCUAUGUGUGUUUUGUAAUAUUUUAAAAAUUCAUUUGGAUGUACUGUGAUUUAACCAUAUUUGUUUCAUGGCAGUAUAAGUUGUUACCAGCUUGUUUGGGUAUUAUAAUGGAUGCUGUGCUGAAUAUUCCCACAUAUACAUUUUAAUAACUUUCUUUGAUUAUAUACUUAAGAUUAAUUUCUAGAAGAGAAUUCUUAGAAUCAAAAUAUAAUUGUAUCUUUAAUUAAAAUACAUAUGACUAAACUGCCUAGAAAAGGUCACUGAUGUACUUUCCCACCAAUCAUGCCUGCGAGUGAGCAUGCUGACAAGUAGGACUGGCAACGCUGGUUUCCUAUUAGAGUAACCUGGAGUGCUCUACAACAAAAUGAAAACAAAAGGAAGUGAAGCUCACAUACUAUCUCAAGACCAAGUAAAUCUAUGUUAAGAGGUAAAUCUAUAUUUAAUGUUAUAAGAAACAAUGACUGUUUUUUAAUGUUAUUUUGCUUUUCCUCUAGAAAUACAUGUUCCAGUGUUUCCCAUCCUUGACAGCGUUUCAUUUUGUCACUCUUAAUUUUAGUCAAUCCACAGGUUAUAUAGUGCUAUAUCAUUAUGGUUUUAAUUUGCAUGUUCCUACUGACUAAUGAUGUAGAGUAUUUCAUGUAUACAUUUACCACUCAUGUAUCUUUUUUCAUAAAGUGUUUUCUUC